rnacentral:rRNA from 1 species
UACAGAGGUCUCAAGCGUUGUUCGGAUUCAUUGGGCGUAAAGGGUGCGUAGGCGGCGCGGUAAGUCGGGUGUGAAAUUUCGAGGCUUAACUUCGAAACUGCAUUCGAUACUGCCGUGCUAGAGGACUGGAGAGGAGACUGGAAUUUGACGGUGUAGCGGUGAAAUGCGUAGAUAUCGUAAGGAAGACCAGUGGCGAAGGCGGGUCUCCGUG